rnacentral:rRNA from 1 species
UACGUAGGGUGCGAGCGUUUGUCCGGAAUUAUUGGGCGUAAAGAGCUCGUAGGCGGUCUGUCGCGUCUGCUGUGAAAACCCGAGGCUCAACCUCGGGCCUGCAGUGGGUACGGGCAGACUAGAGUGCGGUAGGGGAGAAUGGAACUCCUGGUGUAGCGGUGGAAUGCGCAGAUAUCAGGAGGAACACCGGUGGCGAAGGCGGGUCUCUGGGCCGAUACUGACGCUGAGGAGCGAAAAGCGUGGGGGAGCGGACAGG